rnacentral:rRNA from 1 species
UGAACGCUAGCGGCAGGCCUAACACAUGCACGUCGAGGGCUAAGCCUUCGGGCUAAGACCGGCGCACGGGUGCGUAACGCGUAUACAAUCUGCCUUUUAUCCGGGGGAUAGCCCGAAGAAAUUUGGAUUAAUACCCUAUGGUAUAAGAGCACGGCAUCGUGCACUUAUUAAAGCUACGGCGGUAAAAGAUGAGUAUGCGUUCUAUUAGCUAGUUGGAGAGGUAACGGCUCCCCAAGGCGACGAUAGAUAGGGGUUCUGAGAGGGAUGUCCCCCACACUGGUACUGAGAUACGGACCAGACUCCUACGGGAGGCAGCAGUGAGGAAUAUUGGACAAUGGUCGGAAGACUGAUCCAGCCAUGCCGCGUGCAGGAUGACGGCCUUAUGGGUUGUAAACUGCUUUUGUAAGGGAAGAAUAAGGAGUACGUGUACUUUGAUGACGGUACCUUACGAAUAAGCAGCGGCUAACUCCGUG